rnacentral:rRNA from 1 species
UACGGAGGGGGCUAGCGUUGUUCGGAAUUACUGGGCGUAAAGCGCACGUAGGCGGCUUUGCAAGUCAGAGGUGAAAGCCCGGGGCUCAACCCCGGAAUAGCCUUUGAGACUGCAUCGCUAGAAUUGUGGAGAGGUAAGUGGAAUUCCGAGUGUAGAGGUGAAUUUCGUAGAUAUUCGGAAGAACACCAGUGGCGAAGGCGACUUACUGGACACAUAUUGACGCUGAGGUGCGAAAGCGUGGGGAGCAAACAGG